rnacentral:rRNA from 1 species
UACGUAGGGUGCGAGCGUUAAUCGGAAUUACUGGGCGUAAAGCGUGCGCAGGCGGUUUUGUAAGCCAGAUGUGAAAUCCCCGGGCUUAACCUGGGAAUGGCAUUUGGGACUGCAAGGCUGGAGUGUGGCAGAGGAGACUGGAAUUCCUGGUGUAGCAGUGAAAUGCGUAGAUAUCAGGAGGAAUACCGAUGGCGAAGGCAGCCCCCUGGGCUAACACUGACGCUCAUGCACGAAAGCGUGGGGAGCAAACAGG